UACAGAGGGUGCGAGCGUUGUCCGGAAUCACUGGGCGUAAAGGGUGCGUAGGUGGCGCGCUAAGUCAGGUGUGAAAUUUCGGAGCUUAACUCCGAAACUGCAUUCGAUACUGCGGUGCUUGAGGACUGGAGAGGAGACUGGAAUUCAUGGUGUAGCAGUGAAAUGCGUAGAGAUCAUGAGGAAGACCAGUGGCGAAGGCGGGUCUCUGGACAGUUCCUGACACUGAGACACGAAGGCCAGGGGAGCAAACGGG
rnacentral:rRNA from 1 species